rnacentral:rRNA from 1 species
AUUGAACGCUGGCGGCAGGCCUAACACAUGCAAGUCGAACGAGUGGCGGACGGGUGAGUAAUGUCUGGGAAACUGCCCGAUGGAGGGGGAUAACUACUGGAAACGGUAGCUAAUACCGCAUACCAUCGGAUGUGCCCAGAUGGGGUUAGCUAGUAGGUGGGGUAACGGCUCACCUAGGCGACGAUCCCUAGCUGGUCUGAGAGGAUGACCAGACAGACUGGAACUGAGACAAGUGCCAGACUCCUACGGGAGGCAGCAGUGGGGAAUAUUGCACAAUGGGCGCAAGCCUGAUGCAGCCAUGCCGCGGGUAUGAAGAAGGCGUUCGGGUUGUAAGGUACUUUCAGCGAGGAGGCGUUACUCGCAGAAGAAGCACCGGCUAACUCCGUGCCAGCAGCCGCGGUAAUAC